AACGCAUCUUGCGCUUGCUGGUAUUCCGGCAAGCAUGCCUGUUUGAGUGUCAUGAAAAUUAUCAACCAUGACUUGGGUUUAGGCCCUUGUUCUUGGCUUGGAUUUGGGUGCUUGCGGUCUUGUGCUGCUCACCUUAAAAGGAUUAGCUGGACAUGUCUUUUGACUUGGUUCUACUUGGCGUAAUAAGUAUUUCGCUGAGGACAUCCCUUCUGGGGUGGCCAAGACUCUGGCAAACGUCUGCUUUCUAACUCGACUGUCCUCGGACAUCACUUUUUAUGAUCUGGCCUCAAAUCAGGUAGGACUACCCGCUGAACUUAA
rnacentral:misc_RNA from 2 species